UACGGGGGGGGCAAGCGUUGUUCGGAAUUACUGGGCGUAAAGGGCUCGUAGGUGGCCAACUAAGUCAGACGUGAAAUCCCUCGGCUUAACCGGGGAACUGCGUCUGAUACUGGAUGGCUUGAGUUCGGGAGAGGGAUGCGGAAUUCCAGGUGUAGCGGUGAAAUGCGCAGAUAUCAGGAGGAACACCGGUGGCGAAGGCGGAUCUCUGGGCCUUACCUGACGCUGAGGCGCGAAAGCUAGGGGAGCAAACAGG
rnacentral:rRNA from 1 species